GCCUACGGGGGGCAGCAGUGGGGAAUAUUGCACAAUGGGGGAAACCCUGAUGCAGCGACGCCGCGUGAGUGAAGAAGUAUCUCGGUACGUAAAGCUCUAUCAGCAGGGAAGAAAAAAAGUCUUUGGCUUUGGACGGUACCUGACUAAGAAGCCCCGGCUAACUACGUGCCAGCAGCCGCGGUAAUACGUAGGGGGCAAGCGUUAUCCGGAUUCACUGGGCGUAAAGGGAGCGCAGGCGGCAUGGCAAGUCUGAUGUGAAAACCCGGGGCCCAACCCCGGGAGUGCAUUGGAAACUGCCAGGCUGG
rnacentral:rRNA from 1 species